GUCUAUGGCCAUACCACCCCGAACGUGCCCAAUCUCGUCUGAUCUCAGAAGGUAAGCAGGGUUGGGCCUGGUUAGUACUUGGAUAGGAGAAAUAGAAC
ensembl:rRNA 5S_rRNA 5S ribosomal RNA